rnacentral:misc_RNA from 1 species
UUUCCGUAGGUGAACCUGCGGAAGGAUCAUUGUCGAAACCUGCCCAGCAGAACGACCCGCGAACUUGUAUAACCAACCGGGGGCGGGGGGCGUUCUCGCCCCGUGCCCCCGAACGGCGGGGAGACACUCGUGCCUUCUCGCCGAACAACGAACCCCGGCGCGGUCUGCGCCAAGGAACUUCAACUAAAGAGUGCCUCCGGUCGCCUCGGAAACGGCGUGCGUGCCGGGGGCGAAUCUUGUGCAAAACCAUAACGACUCUCGGCAACGGAUAUCUCGGCUCCC